CCCUGGGGGCAAGACACAGUCACCUGGGUGGGGCUGCUGGUUCCAGAUUAUGGUCACUUCUCUCCCAGUGCUCUGGCCCGUACCUGUGUUUCUAAAACUGGUGGCAUCCCGAACCCAGGACGUGGGCUCUCCCCACCACCCUGCAUGGACUUGCCCAAUAAAUUCCACUUAGUAAUUUCACCGAGGCGAGGGAGAGCUGUUAGUGUCUGUUUUCUGACCUAAAUCAAGCGUGUGGCCAGUACGGGCUUCAAUGGAUAGAGAGGAGAGCUGUUGGCUUAGAGAAAGACCCACAGGAGGGACUUGCACACGGGACGGGGUAGGCAAGGCACGGUCUUAGUUUCCUGCAGGGCUUUCUGUGAGUCGGUUUGCCCUCUUCGGGCUACAUCGCCUCGCCUCGUAGUAGUGGAAGGGCUGAGGUUGGAGGGGGCUUUUCCCCCAACACUCCCUACAUUUUGUUCAGGGCUACUUAGAGGGAUCAUAUGGCAGCCUCCGUGGCUUCCUUCAAGGCCCAGGGUCAAGGCUUUCUGUCCUGUUCCUGUGGUCAUCCAGGGCAGAAAGAGGCAGGAUGCGACGACGCUGAGAAAUGCUGUUCUACGGGACGGGACCGUGGGGCUAGGUGCACGCAUGCAGUUCACAUGGUUCACGGAAAAGCCAAGAACAGGCAGCGGGUUCGAAAAGCUUGCCACAGAGUUCGCAGAGAUUCCUCUUGCCUUCCCACGAUGCCAGGAUCGCAAGUGCCCUGAAUUUGCGCUUCUAACAGAGUCAGACCUGUUUGUUGAUGAAAUGACCGGCUUGCUGACAAAGAGGGGCAUCAAUGGAGAGACAGAUCUAGGCCCUUCUUUGGCAUUUCGAAGAAGCUAGGGGAGACACGCGAUUUCGGGUGCUGUGGAUCAACUGCACGGAAGGAGCAGGAAGAAAGAGGGGAAAGACAGGCAUGCAGCCUGGUACCAGGAAUGUCACAGGACCAGAAGAAUCUAGCUGGAAUACUACAAUAGUCCUCUGCCCUCUAUCUGUUCGUCUCUUUGUGAGCAGCUACUGGAGAAACAACAUGAAGAGACUACGCUCUUUGUACUAGAAGCCUGUGAUAGUCAGGCUCUUCACACUGACUCUGAGACAUUCUUGACAAUUGAAUUGCCGGCUGGAUCCUCCCGGGAUGAAAGCAAAGAGUCUUGCCAGAUGAUGGGAUCAUGGUGCUGGACUCUUCGGCCUUCAAACUGACCAUUUUAAAUAUUCUGCAUCCUCUGUAAGCCCACAUGCAUUUUAAGAUCAUGCUAAUUUUUGGAAGGAAGACCAGAAUUCACUGCUAACCAGUUAAAGAAAAGAUAUACCAAUUAUCUAAAAUGUCUUCCAGAAGGUGGAAGCAGCAAAGGAAAUACAUCCCAGCUCAUUCAUGAGAACUGCAGUUGUUGAACCUCCUGUGAAUUUCCAUGGCUGUUGCCAGGUCAGGACAAAGCCACUUUCCUAGCUGUAGCCGUGGCAUUGGAGAGAACCCCCACCCCAUCCAAGGCUGUGCUUAAUAAGGUGCACUCGCAUUUUCAAACAAGGUCACAGACCAUCAAGGCAUCAGGAGCUUGAAGCAACUAGUCUCCUUACAUCCUAUCAGAAGAGGAAUGAACGCAUGGCUGCUUCCUAGUUCCUGUUCUCCAGACAUGUCAGAAGCCCAUCUAUCUCCCAGAUGAGUCUACUUCCUGUCAAACUGAUAAGGCGUUACAACGUUAACCAUUACAGCACCUCUCCAUUUUGAUGUAUUUCAGGUCUGUGGGAGCACACUGCAGGGUACAAUGUAACCGCACUACACCAUGGGCUAGUGAGAGCUGAGAGGAGCGACCAUGGCGGAGGAAGGGCACAAAGAAAGCAGCUCAAGACCAAGAUGAAGAGAUAGAGGAUCUGAUAAAACCUGCUCCAAGGUACUGACCAGACUUUGGUUUUAUAGAACGCCUUGAUGUGAAGCUGAGAGAGCGAGCGCCUUUGUUGGUGCCAGCGUGGGAAAGGUCUGAGCAGCAAGAGACAAGGACCCACGGAUGAAAUGAGGUGUCUGCCUUGGUGGUGAGAUGACGUGGCUGUCUUGGGAUCCAGAUCUCCUUUUCAUGUGGUUAUCUACAUGUUGGUAAGGCUGGAGCUGAGGACAGGUGGGUGGAGGAGAACAUUUGGCUGCCACGGUAACACGUUCUGCUAUGUACAGAGCUCUUCGGAGAACUGGGCCUCUAGUACAGUCACUCUGAUUUUCUCUAUCUGAUAUAUAAAAAGAUGGGGGCUCCUGGGACUCCAACUCUUGCAGACUGACCUUAACUAGACAGUAAGUACAAGCUAGAAGCCCGGCUCUGCACAGUCCUGUAUAGCUUACCAGGCGGCACACAACAAAGCCUUCUGUCUAUCAUUCACUGCCCCCUGGUGGAACACACAGGAAACAACAGCAUCUAGAACAAUCGCCUGGACAAUGAUCUCUUUUUCCUACAGGGGCGGAGGCAAAGCUGCUCUAUGUGGCCAGGUGGAAGGCUGCAAUGGCUUGCAGUGAGAGGGAAGAAGACAGAACUGAGGCUGGAGAAAAGUGUAGCUGAGCUGAAGAUGCAGGUCUUACGUGUGCUGUCAGAACAGGAUGGAGAGAGAUUUGGGGAGCUGAGAUUUAGAACCAAAUGGAGACAGACAUACCAGGCAGGAUCAGCAGAAAGCUGUCUUCAAUGACACGAGCACCUUCACACCUGCAGCCACAACUGACUCCAGUACAAGUACAGCCUCUGGCAGAAACACAGCGGUAAGAAGUGGCAAGGUAUGAAAGUGCCCCAACUCCUAGCAGGUCUUCUGCAGCAAAGGGAAACGGGAAAUGACAGCGCACUUGCCAGAGCAAGCAUGCUCUGUGAAGCCACAGGGCUCCCUUACUCCCUGUGCCCAAAGGACAGAGAAGUCCUGGAUGUAGAAAAUCUUGCUCUUCUUUUUAUUCUUUGGCUUUAAUAAGAAAAGAUCCUGUUUUAAUUUUGAGCUUAAAAAAAAAAGCUAACAAAAGCAGGCUGUUCUCUUUGUUUAGCACCAUGUGAAAUCAUUACUAAGACGUCAGUUUUCUAUUGUCUAGGUAGUAGAUUGUAGUUAUUUAGUUUUACAAGGACUUCUUUGGCCAAGAAAUCUGUCCAUUUGGAAAAGAAUAGUAUUGCAUACUAUUAUGCAGAUUUGCACAUGCUACAAUUGUGGUGCCUUUCAGUCUGAAGGAAUCAAAUGCUGGGUUCUUUUUACUGAAGACCAAGGUCUUGGUUGGCUGCACCCCGAUUUGUGAAAGACAGCCGCUUUCUUUCACUCAGACGGCAGGCACACUGGAAGGACAGAAGGAGCAAACGGCUAGAGCCUCUCAACCUGCUCCCCACAGUGAGCGAGAAAAGGAAGAAAGGAGAGAAUAAAGGAAGCAAGUUACAUGAGGAUUUUGGCCUCGAACCUGCUGAGUCUCCAUCUUCACUUCUGGAUUCUGCUGCAGUUAAGUUCUCUAACCCUUGCCAAUGAAUGGCCCUCCCGCCUUCACCCUCGGCUCGGACGUCCCGUUGUGCUCCCCAAAGCGUAUUCUAAAGAGAAAGCGUCAUUCUUAGCCACACACUGAAGUAGGAAAACAACCCAAAAUCAGAUCUACCUGACAAUGAAAAUCGAAAUACUCCUUUUACUACAUGAACUUGAUUCUUCCAGGUGGACUUUGUGCUACACCUGUGGAACUAGUUCAAAGCACGGUCAUCACUCAGCUACUCAAGUAUUUCCAUCACUCUAUGGACUCAAAGAUGCAAUGUACUCUCGAGGAAUCAGCAUUAUUAUACAGAAAAUAAGGAACUGUAAAAGAAACCAUGUCAAUACAGGUCCAGAUGAUGCAUGUAAGGUGCUUAAUUUACCUAACAAAAUAAGCAUUAAGUACUUAAAUGAGUAUUCAAUAAAUGGUUAAGCAGGGUUCUUAGUAGCAUUUGAGACAAUCUUAGUGAAUGUACAAUAUUGUGCUUGGUGAGGAUGGGACGCCAUGCUGACUGGAAGGAAUAGCUUACAUAAAAAUACAAAGAACUGGGGCUGGAGAGAUGUCUCAGCAGUUAAGAGCGCUGGCUGCCUUUCCAGAGGACCCUGGUUCAAUUCCCAGCACCCACCCUCCCAGCAGUUCACAGCUGUCUAUACAUUCAGUUCCAGGAGAUGCAACACCCUCACACAGACAUGCAGGCAGGCAAAACACCAAUGCACAUAAAACAAAUUAUUUUUUUUUUAAAUACAAAUAAAGUGUGACAGGCAAGAUGGCUCAGUGGAUAAAGGUAACUCUAUUUUAGCAGAACAGACCAGAUCAUGAAAGGCUUCAAGUAUUAGAGUAACAAACACACACACACACUCCAUUCUCUUGGAAAGGUGGGGGGGGGCAUUUUUGUAAUGCUGAGGAUGAAAGGGCUCUGUGUCUGCCAGGAAAGUGUGCUAGACCCCGAGCCCUUAGAAUCUUCAGAAAAAAAAAUCUACAACAGCAGUGUGUAUGAAAAUUGUUUAUUUGAAAGACUGGCAAGUCUAGAUAAGGAGUAGUCACCGAUUUAAGCUGGGCUGGCAGCAGUGGGAAGAGAAAGGGAGCUGCAGUGCAUAGGGAGGGAGCUCAAUAGGACUUUCUGGCUACUUGGAUCAUGGGGGAGAGUGAGGGGGAUGAAAGAGUGCGGCUGAAACCUGGAAAAGUGGAAGAUCUGGGGAGAAGAAAUCAGGGCCUUUGUUCGGUGCAAGAGUGUAUGCUUAAUCUGUGCAGCACCAAAAAGAAAAAAGGGCCAUAAGGAAGAAGAAAUGAAAAGGUGGGGCAGGAUGGACUUUGGAGUAUAUGGAAGAAAUGCUAAAAAGUGUUAAAUCUCAUAAAGCAAUGUGUCACCUGGCUGUGGUGGCACAUGACUUUAAUCCCAGCACCAGGGGCAGAAGCAGGCAGAUCUCUGUGAGGGCAAGGCUGGCCUGGUCUACUGGUUUAUGUGUCAAGACCCUGUCUCAAACACCACACACACACUUCUAUAUAAAAAUAAAGAUGAGCCAGGCAGUGGUGACGCACGCCUUUAAUCUCAGCACUUGGGAGGUAGAAGCAGGCAGAUCUCUGCGAGUUUGAGCCCAGUCUGGUCUACAGAGUGAGUUCCAGGACAGCCAGUUCGGUUACACAGAGAAACCCUGUGUCAAAAAUAAAAAAAAAAAUUAAGAAGUUAUGAGUGGCUUAAGUAGCCAGGGUAAUAUGAAUGAAACAGUUGGAUAUAACAUAACUUCUGGAUAUAACUUUGUUUUCAAAACUAAACUUCUAUUUCCCUUUUUACACCCUUUCCCCAUUUUUACACCUGUCCCUAUUGCACAAGUCAGAAACCUAAGAGCUAUUUCUGUGCCUUUCCAUUCCUUCAGCUGCAGAUCCAAUCCAUUAGCAAUUUCAAUCAGCACCAUCUCCAAGACAAUCUAAAAGGCACCUGCCUCUCCCACAGUUCCUACCCCAGACUGGCAAACAUUACUUCUGGUCUGAACUCACAUAACUAUAUAUCUGAUUUUUCCUUCUGUGUGUGUGUGUGUGUG